GAGAAUGUUGUUAAAGGCAGCAUCAGCGUUAGGGCAUAAAUUAAUGCUAAAGUACUGGAAAACAAUCUUUUAAUAACCAUAGCGAUCUCCUCGGAUCCAAGGCCAUGAAUCAGCCACUUUUUUGUAUUUUUUUAUAAUGCAAUUUAAGUGCCAGCGGCUAAACUUUUAAGACAACCACUCUAACGGAUUAACCGCUUUUCCUUUUUGUCUUAUCUCAAAGUAUAGACCGUUUUGCUUGAUUCCACCGCUGUGACCG
rnacentral:ncRNA from 1 species